UCAGACCGGAGGAAGUUGUCAGCGAAUGAGCGAACAGACUUCAGACUGGCCAGGUCGAGCUGCAUGAAGAUCACCUCGCUGUUUCCUGUCUCCUGAUAACAAGGACAACAAGGAGAGCUCGCUGUCUGUCCCUGCAGGCCAGAAUCACCCUCGCCCCCCUCUUGGCCAGGUCCAUUGCGGUGGUCUUACCGAUGCCGGUGUUUGCUCCUUGAGAGGAAGUGCAGAAUAACAGUGGCUAAACUACAUUUUCCUGCUGCUCCCAUCCACAGCAGUACAUUUCUCAGCUCCUGCUUCUCCAAACUGGGGGGGUGCCAACUGACAUCUACUGUAUGUCAUUGACCUUUUGCGAAGCCCCGCCCCCUUGUGAUGGUCUGUCAGAGUAAGCAUGGAGCCCUCACUGACGCUAACUGCACUCCCUGAAGAAAUAUGAUCAUAUUUUUGUAAAAAUGAAAGAGUGAUUCCAGAGAGAAGCAGACAGAGGGGUCUACAGUCUGUGCUUGAAGGAUAUAUCCAGGAUGUCAAACUGACUCAGCAGCAACAACAGGUUAAAAAGACAAAGAUAGUUAGAAGCUGAAGCCGAACUAUAGGCUACAGAUCACAGUGUAAAAGUGAACAACCACAUCACUGCUGAUCGCCACACAAGACAAUGAAUAUAAAGGGAAACUGCUGAUAUUGAACCAGCUGUGUGGCAUCGCAGUGUGUGCAGAUGAACAGUGUUUGCUGC